UCCCCCUACAUAGGGGUGG
rnacentral:misc_RNA from 1 species